CUGGCGGCUGGGCUCGCUGUAGUUGUGCUCCCGCUCUUCCCCUGCCCUCGCUCCACGCCGCGCCGCUCUGUGCGGCGGCUGCCUCCUCUUACGGCCGGAAUGCCUAAUCACCAUGCAAGAAGAAUUUUCUGCGAAAGAACCUUCUUACACCUUUUCCAAGAAAAGAUCCUGGAUUGGGACUACAUGUUGAGCCUGGAGAAAUGAUAGGCUGUAGUAUGAAUCAGAACACCUGGUAGAUGCUAAGUAAACAGAAGGAAUUUAUCAUCUUCCAGCCUUA
rnacentral:lncRNA from 1 species